rnacentral:rRNA from 1 species
GGGUUGUGAGGUUAAGCGACUAAGCGUACACGGUGGAUGCCCUGGCAGUCAGAGGCGAUGAAGGACGUGCUAAUCUGCGAUAAGCGUCGGUAAGGUGAUAUGAACCGUUAUAACCGGCGAUUUCCGAAUGGGGAAACCCAGUGUGUUUCGACACACUAUCAUUAACUGAAUCCAUAGGUUAAUGAGGCGAACCGGGGGAACUGAAACAUCUAAGUACCCCGAGGAAAAGAAAUCAACCGAGAUUCCCCCAGUAGCGGCGAGCGAACGGGGAGCAGCCCAGAGCCUGAAUCAGUGUGUGUGUUAGUGGAAGCGUCUGGAAAGGCGCGCGAUACAGGGUGACAGCCCCGUACACAAAAAUGCACAUGCUGUGAGCUCGAUGAGUAGGGCGGGACACGUGGUAUCCUGUCUGAAUAUGGGGGGACCAUCCUCCAAGGCUAAAUACUCCUGACUGACCGAUAGUGAACCAGUACCGUGAGGGAAAGGCGAAAAGAACCCCGGCGAGGGGAGUGAAAAAGAACCUGAAACCGUGUACGUACAAGCAGUGGGAGCACGCUUAGGCGUGUGACUGCGUACCUUUUGUAUAAUGGGUCAGCGACUUAUAUUCUGUAGCAAGGUUAACCGAAUAGGGGAGCCGAAGGGAAACCGAGUCUUAACUGGGCGUUAAGUUGCAGGGUAUAGACCCGAAACCCGGUGAUCUAGCCAUGGGCAGGUUGAAGGUUGGGUAACACUAACUGGAGGACCGAACCGACUAAUGUUGAAAAAUUAGCGGAUGACUUGUGGCUGGGGGUGAAAGGCCAAUCAAACCGGGAGAUAGCUGGUUCUCCCCGAAAGCUAUUUAGGUAGCGCCUCGUGAAUUCAUCUCCGGGGGUAGAGCACUGUUUCGGCAAGGGGGUCAUCCCGACUUACCAACCCGAUGCAAACUGCGAAUACCGGAGAAUGUUAUCACGGGAGACACACGGCGGGUGCUAACGUCCGUCGUGAAGAGGGAAACAACCCAGACCGCCAGCUAAGGUCCCAAAGUCAUGGUUAAGUGGGAAACGAUGUGGGAAGGCCCAGACAGCCAGGAUGUUGGCUUAGAAGCAGCCAUCAUUUAAAGAAAGCGUAAUAGCUCACUGGUCGAGUCGGCCUGCGCGGAAGAUGUAACGGGGCUAAACCAUGCACCGAAGCUGCGGCAGCGACGCUUAUGCGUUGUUGGGUAGGGGAGCGUUCUGUAAGCCUGUGAAGGUGUACUGUGAGGUAUGCUGGAGGUAUCAGAAGUGCGAAUGCUGACAUAAGUAACGAUAAAGCGGGUGAAAAGCCCGCUCGCCGGAAGACCAAGGGUUCCUGUCCAACGUUAAUCGGGGCAGGGUGAGUCGACCCCUAAGGCGAGGCCGAAAGGCGUAGUCGAUGGGAAACAGGUUAAUAUUCCUGUACUUGGUGUUACUGCGAAGGGGGGACGGAGAAGGCUAUGUUGGCCGGGCGACGGUUGUCCCGGUUUAAGCGUGUAGGCUGGUUUUCCAGGCAAAUCCGGAAAAUCAAGGCUGAGGCGUGAUGACGAGGCACUACGGUGCUGAAGCAACAAAUGCCCUGCUUCCAGGAAAAGCCUCUAAGCAUCAGGUAACAUCAAAUCGUACCCCAAACCGACACAGGUGGUCAGGUAGAGAAUACCAAGGCGCUUGAGAGAACUCGGGUGAAGGAACUAGGCAAAAUGGUGCCGUAACUUCGGGAGAAGGCACGCUGAUAUGUAGGUGAAGCGACUUGCUCGUGGAGCUGAAAUCAGUCGAAGAUACCAGCUGGCUGCAACUGUUUAUUAAAAACACAGCACUGUGCAAACACGAAAGUGGACGUAUACGGUGUGACGCCUGCCCGGUGCCGGAAGGUUAAUUGAUGGGGUUAGCGCAAGCGAAGCUCUUGAUCGAAGCCCCGGUAAACGGCGGCCGUAACUAUAACGGUCCUAAGGUAGCGAAAUUCCUUGUCGGGUAAGUUCCGACCUGCACGAAUGGCGUAAUGAUGGCCAGGCUGUCUCCACCCGAGACUCAGUGAAAUUGAACUCGCUGUGAAGAUGCAGUGUACCCGCGGCAAGACGGAAAGACCCCGUGAACCUUUACUAUAGCUUGACACUGAACAUUGAGCCUUGAUGUGUAGGAUAGGUGGGAGGCUUUGAAGUGUGGACGCCAGUCUGCAUGGAGCCGACCUUGAAAUACCACCCUUUAAUGUUUGAUGUUCUAACGUUGACCCGUAAUCCGGGUUGCGGACAGUGUCUGGUGGGUAGUUUGACUGGGGCGGUCUCCUCCUAAAGAGUAACGGAGGAGCACGAAGGUUGGCUAAUCCUGGUCGGACAUCAGGAGGUUAGUGCAAUGGCAUAAGCCAGCUUGACUGCGAGCGUGACGGCGCGAGCAGGUGCGAAAGCAGGUCAUAGUGAUCCGGUGGUUCUGAAUGGAAGGGCCAUCGCUCAACGGAUAAAAGGUACUCCGGGGAUAACAGGCUGAUACCGCCCAAGAGUUCAUAUCGACGGCGGUGUUUGGCACCUCGAUGUCGGCUCAUCACAUCCUGGGGCUGAAGUAGGUCCCAAGGGUAUGGCUGUUCGCCAUUUAAAGUGGUACGCGAGCUGGGUUUAGAACGUCGUGAGACAGUUCGGUCCCUAUCUGCCGUGGGCGCUGGAGAACUGAGGGGGGCUGCUCCUAGUACGAGAGGACCGGAGUGGACGCAUCACUGGUGUUCGGGUUGUCAUGCCAAUGGCACUGCCCGGUAGCUAAAUGCGGAAGAGAUAAGUGCUGAAAGCAUCUAAGCACGAAACUUGCCCCGAGAUGAGUUCUCCCUGACUCCUUGAGAGUCCUGAAGGAACGUUGAAGACGACGACGUUGAUAGGCCGGGUGUGUAAGCGCAGCGAUGCGUUGAGCUAACCGGUACUAAUGAACCGUGAGGCUUAACCUUACAACGCCGAAGGUGUUU